GGUCCUGGGGGAAGCUCGGGCAGAGUCCGGAGCGCUGGGCAGGGUCGUGCCCCGCGGGGAGAUGCUCCCUGCGAAAACUGCCCUGCGAGCGCGUGUGGCAGCGGGCACACGAACAAAACGGGCGGCGGCGCUUGGGACGGGUUGGAGAGAGCAGCACCAGAGCCGCGUGUGUUCUACCGCCGUCCCAAAUCACACAUUCCCCCCGGUUGUCACUUGGAAAGAAGAAUAAAGCUGGCGGCAAGAGCGGGGGGAGGCAGUCGGGUCUGACAGGGCCCCAGCCCGACAAAGAUACUGGAUUCUUAUCAGCCUUCCCCAAGUGAAGCAAUUGUGGCCAAGUCUCAUUCCGCAGCAAUCCAAGGCCUUUUCAAAUGCAAGUACUAUUUUUUCCCCUAUAUUUUUUUUUUCCUACUGCCAUCCUUGAACUGCUCUGAAGAACAAUCUUGAAAUAAAACCGCGUGUGCCACAAA